rnacentral:rRNA from 1 species
GACGAACGCUGGCGGCGUGCUUAACACAUGCAAGUCGAACGGAAAGGCCCUGCUUUUGUGGGGUGCUCGAGUGGCGAACGGGUGAGUAACACGUGAGUAACCUGCCCUUGACUUUGGGAUAACUUCAGGAAACUGGGGCUAAUACCGGAUAGGAGCUCCUGCUGCAUGGUGGGGGUUGGAAAGUUUCGGCGGUUGGGGAUGGACUCGCGGCUUAUCAGCUUGUUGGUGGGGUAGUGGCUUACCAAGGCUUUGACGGGUAGCCGGCCUGAGAGGGUGACCGGCCACAUUGGGACUGAGAUACGGCCCAGACUCCUACGGGAGGCAGCAGUGGGGGAUAUUGCACAAUGGGCGGAAGCCUGAUGCAGCAACGCCGCGUGCGGGAUGACGGCCUUCGGGCUGUAAACCGCUUUCGCCUGUGACGAAGCGUGAGUGACGGUAAUGGGUAAAGAAGCACCGGCUAACUACGUG